rnacentral:rRNA from 1 species
CCUACGUGUGGCAGCAGUGGGGAAUAUUGCGCAAUGGGCGAAAGCCUGACGCAGCGACGCCGCGUGAGGGAUGAAGGUCUUCGGAUCGUACACCUCUGUCAGCAGGGAAGAACGGUCACUGUGCUAAUCAGCAGUGACUUGACGGUACCUGACAAGGCAGCACCGGCUAACUCCGUGCCAGCAGCCGCGGUAAUACGGAGGGGGCGAGCGUUAAUCGGAAUUACUGGGCGUAAAGCGCGCGUAGGCGGUAUGUCAAGUCAAGGGUGAAAUCCCCGCGCUCAACGUGGGAACUUCAUUUGAAACUGGCAAACUGGAGUGUGUGAGAGGAUAGUGGAAUUCCAUGUGUAGGAGUGAAAUCCGUAGAUAUCUGGAGGAACAUCAGUGGCGAAGGCGACUAUCUGGCACAUAACUGACGCUGAUGAGCGAAAGCGUGGGUAUCAAACAGGAUUAGAUACCCGGGUAGUC